UACGUAGGGGGCAAGCGUUGUCCGGAAUCAUUGGGCGUAAAGAGCGUGUAGGCGGCUCGGUAAGUCCGCUGUGAAAGUCCAGGGCUCAACCCUGGAAUGCCGCUGGAAACUGUCUGGCUUGAGUCCGGAAGGGGCGAGUGGAAUUCCUGGUGUAGCGGUGAAAUGCGCAGAUAUCGGGAGGAACACCAGUGGCGAAGGCGACUUCCUGGCCUGUUCUUGACGCUGAGGCGCGAAAGCUAGGGGAGCAAACGGG
rnacentral:rRNA from 1 species